ACGAACGCUGGCGGCGUGCCUAACACAUGCAAGUCGAGCGGGAAGCUUUAGAUUGAGACUUCGGUUGAUUUUUAAAGUGGAGAGCGGCGGACGGGUGAGUAACGCGUGAGUAACCUGCCUUCAAGAGGGGGAUAACACAGAGAAAUUUGUGCUAAUACCGCAUGACACCGUAGUGUCGCAUGACACAUCGGUCAAAGAUUUAUCGCUUGAAGAUGGACUCGCGUCUGAUUAGCUAGUUGGUGGGGUAACGGCCCACCAAGGCGACGAUCAGUAGCCGGUCUGAGAGGAUGAACGGCCACAUUGGGACUGAGACACGGCCCAAACUCCUACGGGAGGCAGCAGUGGGGAAUCUUCCGCAAUGGGCGCAAGCCUGACGGAGCAACGCCGCGUGAGUGAAGAAGGUUUUCGGAUCGUAAAGCUCUGUUGAGAGGGACGAGAGAUAUAAUCAGGAAAUGGGUUAUAGAGGACGGUACCUUUCGAGGAAGCCACGGCUAACUACGUG
rnacentral:rRNA from 1 species